rnacentral:rRNA from 1 species
AGUGAACGCUGGCGGUAGGCCUAACACAUGCAAGUCGAACGGCAGCACAGUAAGAGCUUGCUCUUACGGGUGGCGAGUGGCGGACGGGUGAGGAAUACAUCGGAAUCUACUUUUUCGUGGGGGAUAACGUAGGGAAACUUACGCUAAUACCGCAUACGACCUACGGUUGAAAGCAGGGGCUCUUCGGACCUUGCGCGAUUGAAUGAGCCGAUGUCGGAUUAGCUAGUUGGCGGGGUAAAGGCCCACCAAGGCGACGAUCCGUAGCUGGUCUGAGAGGAUGAUCAGCCACACUGGAACUGAGACACGGUCCAGACUCCUGCGGGAGGACGCAGUGGGGAAUAUUGGACAAUGGGCGCAAGCCUGAUACAGCAAUACCGAGUGGGUGAAGAAGGCCUUCGGGUUGUAAAGCCAUUUUGUUGGGAAAGAAAAGCAGCAGGUUAAUACCCCGCUGUUCUGACGGUACCCAAAGAAUAAGCACCGGCUAACUUCGUG